GAUGAACGCUGGCGGCGUGCCUAAUACAUGCAAGUCGAGCGAACAAACGAGGAGCUUGCUCCUCUGACGUUAGCGGCGGACGGGUGAGUAACACGUGGAUAACCUACCUAUAAGACUGGGAUAACUUCGGGAAACCGGAGCUAAUACCGGAUAAUAUAUUGAACCGCAUGGUUCAAUAGUGAAAGACGGUUUUGCUGUCACUUAUAGAUGGAUCCGCGCCGCAUUAGCUAGUUGGUAAGGUAACGGCUUACCAAGGCGACGAUGCGUAGCCGACCUGAGAGGGUGAUCGGCCACACUGGAACUGAGACACGGUCCAGACUCCUACGGGAGGCAGCAGUAGGGAAUCUUCCGCAAUGGGCGAAAGCCUGACGGAGCAACGCCGCGUGAAUGAUGAAGGUCUUCGGAUCGUAAAACUCUGUUAUUAGGGAAGAACAAAUGUGUAAGUAACUAUGCACGUCUUGACGGUACCUAAUCAGAAAGCCACGGCUAACUACGUG
rnacentral:rRNA from 1 species